AACGAACGCUGGCGGCAUGCCUAACACAUGCAAGUCGAACGAGACCUUCGGGCCUAGUGGCGCACGGGGGGGUAAAGCGGGGGAACCUGCCCUUAAGUUCGGAAUAACUCCCCGAAAGAGGUGCUAAUACCGGAGAAUGUACUCCGAACAAAGAGUUAUUGCCAUUGGAUGGGCCUGGGUUGGCUUAGCUGGUUGGUAGGGUAAAAGCCUAUCAGGGGGAGGUUGCGUAGCUGGUGUGAGAGGAUGAGCCGCCACGCUGGGGCUAGGCCACGGCCCAGAAUCCUACGCGAGGGAGCAGUGGGUAAUACUGGACUGUGGGCGAUGGCCUGAUCCAGCUCUGCCGCGUAAGUGAUGAAGGCCGUAGGGAUGUGCAGCUCUUUUACACGGUGCGAUAUUGACGGUACCGGGAGAAUAAGCACCGGCUAACUCCGUG
rnacentral:rRNA from 1 species